CAAUCCAGUCCGUUAAGGGUCCCGCGGGAAGAUUCCUGCCUGGUCAGACGGAGGGGUGGAUGUCUGUCCAAGAGGCGCACAUGUCAGGAGUGCCUGAGGUGAUAGGGAGGAGAUGACCUUUGUGCAGAAGGUGGUGGUGACUGUGGGGGAGAUUUCCCUGAGUAGACUGUGCGUUGAGAUGGCAAAAGCCCCAAAAUAGAAGCAACUGCUACCCCUAAGUAAGGGCAAGCUAACUGCGACAGUCAUCCAUGCUCAGUGGAUUUUGCAUGAGCAAGAAGAGGACGCAUCUGGCCCGAGACUGACCCAAGACAGGAGGCUGUUUGGAACUGGAUUCCUGCUCUCCUGGAAAAGAGAGCCGGUGUCAAAACCCAGUCAGGGCUCACUGUUCCCAAGACUCUUAGGAACCUACAGCAAGCUUUGGGCUUGAUUGCAGGAGAAAAGCAUAGAGGGGAGAAAAAGCAA